CAUACCUAUACAUUCUUAUUAAGAAAGAUUCGAGUUUUUUUUUUUUUUGGUAUGUCGCAUCACACAUGAUUAAGAUUUUAUAUUUCGUCUGAUGUGUUGAAAUCCUUUAUUGAGUACUGAGUAUUCCAUAUUGUAGUCCCUACAUGUGCAUCUUGUUGCGAAUAUAAUCAAUGAAAUUAUUGGAUUUGAGAGUUAUGUCCUCUAUUGUGUUUGUGACUUUGUGUAUAUGCCCUCUGAUCAAACUGAAUAUACUAGCAGUUGUGUGCCUUAUUGUGUUGAUGCACUUCAUUAUCAGUGCGCGUGCGGAAAGGAAUAGCAAUAAAAUGUGCUAGCAAGCUUUAUUUUUUGGUUGUUAUUGGCUUGAAUAUAGGAAAAUAAGUGAACAGUGGCAAUAAUAUCCACAAUUGCUUACAAGAGGAGGCACCAUUACAAAUUAGAUACUAAUGUUAUUUGGCUAAACAUUUUUCAUAUGUAUUUUGAAUUGUUAAUCUUGAAUCCUCCUUUUCAGUAAAUGUUAUUUCCUUGAUUGAGUUCAGAGUUACAUUGUGAAUUUGGUAUAAAGAAUGGAGUUUUAUUCUCCAUAUGUAUUAAUCUAACUAUUAUUGAAUUUAUUCACUGUUAAGUGUCUGUAGCAUUAGACUAUUAGUGGUCUGUUACUUACUAAUAGUGAAUGAGUUAGGGGUGACUUAUUGCCUAAAAAUAACAAGGCGAGUUUAGAGGGGUAGGCAUCUAGUCUUCUACGAUAAACUUAGGGCAUUUUGGGAUAUGGAAGUUUUGUAUUUUGACUUUGAGCUGGAUCUUACACCAAGGUUGGGGAAAUUUUCUGUUGCAGGAAAUUGGAGGAAGUUUAACUUUUGCCCAAUUUUCUGUGUUUUACCAUUCUUCUCACCAUGUAAGAGAGUGUGUCAAGCUACCAAAACAAUUAAUGACAUAAAUGGGUUAGUACAAGUACAAAAAAUGGUGGAACAUUUUAGAAUUGCACUCUCAAGCUUUGUGAAGGUUUUGUGGGUGUACCCGGAUAAUGGCGCGACCCUGAAAUUGUUUGGUUACAUAUAUGUUCAGCUCAGUCUGAUUUACAAAGUGCUGCCUUCACUGUCUACUAAUAAUAAAACCACAUGCACAUGAGCCUAGAAAUAGAAGUAUCAUGACAUUUGGUGACCAAGUGUUUCAUCAACUACAAGUCUAUUUGAUACCUUGCAACACUUCUGCCAUUUUGCCGGGGAAAGUCUUACAAAAUGUGAGGAAGAAACUACGGAUAACAAUGCUAAAAAAUGAAAUGGCAUGGUUUGAUCAAGAGAUAAAUAAGAGCGCUACGAUUGUGCGGAAUACAACACUUAUGUUAGGUGCCUAUACUGCAGGUUUUGUGUUGCAGAGGCACCUUUCCUUCAUAGCUAUCUUCCUUGUUGUCAUCUAUGUAAAGGAUGUUGUUGCCCAUAAUUCAGAAAACAAAAUAGUUGGUUGUUUCACAUCCAACCUUGAAACUCCAUUCCGGUACCUCUCUAGGAAGGGACAAAUCUUUGAAGUGGAUGUCGGAUAGUUUUUGCACAUUAUACUUCCUAGGCACUUGGUUUAUGAUAUGCUUUAUAAAUUGUAAAGCAUGGCAAUUCUGAAUUCUCUAAAACAGUACAAGUUUUAAGGGUCCUCAUCGUCAGGACCUACUGAUGCUUCCAAAUCUCAGUUUCUAAUUGGAUCAAGGUUUACACUCAGGGUUGGUCAAAACAAUUUCUGCAAAUUGUUUGUUCAACAGCGAUGUCUUCAGAAAACAACACUUGGGAAUUGGUUCAAGAAGAGGCUCAAAGCUCCUCACUCCCUCUGGUCAGAAUUAGGAAAGGAUAAAUUUGUACUCAGAAGUCAAUUUCCUUAUCUUCCAAGGCUUUUCUCCAAGGGGUGGGUAGUGUUAGGAUACCUGUUUUGGGCCUAAGCUCAACAAAUGGGCUUGGGAAGUUGAGAGGAGGUGACGAGCAUAGAAAACGUGAUUAUAGGAGCAUAUUUUAUUGUUCGUUCAAUAUCUUAUUUGUUAGAAACCUUUGGGUUGUGCAGAGAGAGAUUCAUCUCUUCUCUAAGGAGCAAUAGCUAAGGUUACAUGGGUUUUGUCUUCUUUCAUACAUCUAGUUUCUAAUCAACAAUACAA